UCGAGAAUAUUUAGCAAUGGACGAAAGUCUGACUAUGCGACGCCGCGUGCAGGAUGAAGGUCUUCGGAUUGUAAACUGCUUUUGUUAGGGGAGAAACCUGUAGUGUUAACAGCGCUACAGCUGACGGUACCUGACGAAUAAGCCACGGCAAACCCCGUGCCAGCAGCCGCGGUAAUACGGGGGUGGCAAGCGUUACUCGGAAUUAUUGGGUGUAAAGGGCAGGUAGGUGGCUUGGCAAGUGAGGGGUGAAAUCCUGCGGUUCAAUCGCAGAACUGCCUUUCAAACUGCUAAGCUUGAGAGUAAUAGAGGAAGAUGGAAUUUCUGGUGUAAGGGUGAAAUCUGUAGAUAUCAGAAAGAACACCAACGGCGAAGGCAAUCUUCUGGGUUAUUUCUGACACUGAACUGCGAAAGCUAGGGGAGCAAACAGA
rnacentral:rRNA from 1 species